UUUGCUUUCUCUUUCCUAGCCGAUCCCAAAUGGGUUAGGGUGAGCCUGGUUUUAAGCUUUUGCCGAUCCGAUGGGUCCCAUGUCUCUUGGUUUCUCUUUGAUAGCCGAUCCCAACCCCAGUUGGGGUGUGCUUGGGUUUGAGCUUUUGCCAAUCCGAUGGGUCCCAUGCCUCUUGGUUUUUCUUUGCUAGUUGAUCCCAAGCUUUGAGCUUUUACCAAUCCGGUGGGUCCCAUGCCUCUUGGCUUCUCUUUGAUAGCCGAUCCCAACCCCAGUUGGGGUGCGCUUGGGUUUGAACUUUUGCCAAUCCGGUGGGUCCCAUACCUCUUGGUUUCCCUUUGCUAGCC
rnacentral:lncRNA from 1 species